rnacentral:tRNA from 1 species
GCGCCCGUGGUGAAACGGAUAUCAUGUAGCCCUCCGAAGGCUAAGUUCCAAGUUCGAUUCUUGGCGGGCGCGCCA